ensembl:lncRNA
GAGAAAACACUGAUUUGUAACACUAGAAAAAGCCAAGAUAUAUCUUUGGCCAAUUUCUUAACCACACUUCUUUAGCCAUAAAAUUUUUCAUUUAUUUUACUUUUUCAGUUAUUUAUUGAAAUAACUAUCCAGAAAACAUUUUUUAAAAAGCUUUUACAUCCAGAGCUAGACUCAAUAUUAAAAGUUGGACUUAUUUUUGUACGUUAAUCUUCUAAACGGUCAUCUGCUCUUCCAGAACGCCCUAUCUCAGCGGCCAGCAUGAUGGUCCAUCCCGAGCCACAAGUCGUCUUUUCUGCUUCUGCCCUCCCUCACUCUCACAGCUAAUCCAACACCAAGUCUCAUCAAUUUUACUUCCUAAUACCACUCCACUCCAUCCACCUCUCUCCACACCCACUGCCACCGCCCUAGGAUAAGACAUUUUCAUCUCUUGUUUGCAUUCCCAUUAGUCUCCUUCCUAGGCUCCUACACCGCACUUGAACCCUGUAAUCAAUUCCCGCCUCUGCACUGCGGUCACCACCCCCAGUGCUCUCCCCACCUUAAAUUGCCCUGCGACGACCAACAUCUUCCAUGAGGCCAAAAGGCCGUUCCCACCUCUCCAGCCUCGUUAUAUACCAAACUUCCUUCCCUGCCGAAGCCACAACGCCUUUCAGAUUCUGGAAAUGCUCUUCCCCUUGGUUUAGGAAACACCAGAUGCUUGCCUGCUGCUAUCAUUCUUCUAAUUACCUCCCUAGCUAAGCCACACCUCCCUCCUCCCUGUCUCCCGCCCCCAUCUGAUUGUUGAGCUCAACAUUAAAUGCUUCCACAGUAGGGUUUCUUUCCUUUAUGGCACUUACUACAAUUACAAUUUUGUGAUUACCUUAUGACCGUCUCUCUCCUUCACUAGAUGGUAAUUUCUAUGAAGCAGGGAAUGAAUCUCAUUUAUCCUUUAUUGUAUUGUGCCUGGCACAAUAAACAGUAGUUCAUUUUCCAGAACCCUCUCCACUCUAUCUACUUUCUUAGACUGAGGCCUCUCGUGACAUGGACUUGGAACUGCGGCUUUUCAGGGAGAAAACUUCUCAGGAGUCUUAUACAUACAUGAAGCCUACUAAAUGACAAAUGGGGGAAAAGGAAAAAUCCCACAAUCCCUUAGCGACCUUCCCCAACAAAGCUUCCUCCGGGGGCUGCAAGGAGCAAGGCAACAGUCCCGUCUGCCCUUCCCGCUCUGGGGCAGAAACCAGGACCAAGCGGCCAGGAGCGCUCCGAGAAUGCACACCCGGUCACGUGCACCGGCGGCGGCCACGCCCACCCCGGAAGGGGACCUGCGGCGCGCCUCGGCUGGAGAAGGGCCCCAGCGACGUAAGGCGUGCGUGCGUACGUGCGCCGGGAUGGCGAGGCGGAAGGGCCAGGGGACUGAAGGAGCGGCUCCGGGCUACCGGGACAGCGGCUUGCGCCCGAAGUCAGCUUUAGCGCCUGGCUGAGUCCCCGACCCGCGGCAGGGCCUGCGGGGCCUCUCUGCGUCCCGCCCGACGGGAUGGGUGGCAGUGACCUUCCAGGGACACGGCCGAGGGCAAUGUCGCUUCCUUCACAGGCACGUCCCCAAGACUACGUCCUCACGCCGCAGGUUCCCCCGCUGCGUGCUCAGCGCCCCUCGCCCGUAGCUUUACCUGUACCGGCCGGCGAUGAGCAAAGUCUGUCAGAAGGAGCCGGUAAACGGGCUCCGCCGUGAGACCCCUUCGCUUUCCGUAGUGGGCGGGGCUUCGCCCGGCGUCUUUUAAAGGAAAGGUGACGUGGGAGGAGCGCCUUUCCAGCUGGCGGGAUAAAUACCUCCGACAGAAAGUGCGGGGGGCGCGCAAGUUCCUGCUGCUUAGAGGGGCGUCGCGGACUCCGUGCCGCGCUUGCGACCGUCAGCGGCUCUUCUCGUUACGUUACGUUGACGCCAGCCUCCGUGCUUCUACGUGCCCACUGGGGCUUACAGAGGCUUGUUUCCUAAACGUCUUUUGUUUAGUAAAAUGCUGUUUUAAUUUCAUGUUUAAUAAACUGUUUCAUAAGCGUCUUAUAAUUAUUGUGCGUCGGGGAGCCCUGCCCCCUGUUUGCAGGUGAGCAGACGGAGCCGGGCGCUAAGAGGUUGCCCCGGCGGCGUCGGUGACUGCGCUCGGUGACCGCGCGGGGCCGCCGGGACAGACGGAGGGGGCCGGCGGAUGGGGAAACUAGUUCAGCCUGAAGUAGCUGCUUGGGAGCAAGGACCGAGGCUCCGUUUCCUCAUCACGUCCACGGCGUCUGGCACGGAGGCGCUGAUGUUGGCUGAAAUAGUGAAGUGAACCCAGACGCAGCUCGUGUGUGUGACCCGAAGUCCGAGCUACCAACUUAGCCUGCCUCGGUUUCAUGGAUGCCGGUAGAUGACACGAGACUCCUGUAUCAGAAACAAACGACUCUGUUACUCACAGCACAGCAAGCAGCAGGAGCAUCACCAUAUCUGCAUCAGGUCCCCUUGCCACAGUCCCAUGGUAGUGAAUGCACCGGCCCAGAGGAUUGCCUACACCUGCAGUGGGAUGCAUUACAGAAGAGGAAUCCUGAGCUUAGGGAACCCACAUCUUCCAUAAUGUUCAGUAAGCAUGCCUGUCU